rnacentral:rRNA from 1 species
GUGCUCCCCCGCCAAUUCCUUUAAGUUUCAGCCUUGCGGCCGUACUUCCCAAGUGGCCCGCUUCGCGGCUUCCCUACGGCACCACGACGAUUCACGACCGUCGUGACACCUAGCGGGCAUCGUUUACGGCUAGGACUACCCGGGUAUCUAAUCCGGUUCGUGCCCCUAGCUUUCGUCCCUCACCGUCGGACCUGUUCUGGUAGGACGCCUUCGCCACCGGUGGUCCCCGGAGGAUUACAGGAUUUCACCCCUACCCCCCGAGUACCUCCUACCUCUCCCAGUCCCAAGCAAUGUAGUAUCCCAUGAAAGCCCAACGGUUAAGCCGCUGGAUUUCCCAGGGGACUUGCAAAGCCGGCUACGGACCCUUUAGACUCAAUAAUAUCGGCCACCACUCGAGCCGCCGGUAUUACCGCGGCGGCUGGCACCGGUCUUACCCGGCCCUUGCUAACAACCGUUUUUUAGACGGUUGGACAGGCACCCAAGGUGGAUGCCACUCGAUGUCCCCCUAUCGCAGUUGCCUGCAUUGUAGAGUUUUCGCGCCUGCUGCGCCCCGUAGGGCCUGGAUUCGUGUCUCAGAAUCCAUCUCCGGGCUCUUGCUCCCACAACCCGUACGGAUUACAGGCACGCCGGUACGUUACACCGGCGUCAACCUAAUCCGCCGCAGACCCAUCCAAAGGCGUUGCCUUUAAACCACCAAGCAUUCCAGCACUAGUGAUCCAUCCGGUAUUAUCCCCAGUUUCCCGGGGUUAUCCCAGACCCUUGGGCAGGUUAUCCACGUGUUACUGAGCAGU